rnacentral:rRNA from 1 species
GAUGAACGCUGGCGGCGUGCCUAAUACAUGCAAGUCGAGCGAACGGACGAGAAGCUUGCUUCUCUGAUGUUAGCGGCGGACGGGUGAGUAACACGUGGAUAACCUACCUAUAAGACUGGGAUAACUUCGGGAAACCGGAGCUAAUACCGGAUAAUAUUUUGAACCGCAUGGUUCAAAAGUGAAAGACGGUCUUGCUGUCACUUAUAGAUGGAUCCGCGCUGCAUUAGCUAGUUGGUAAGGUAACGGCUCACCAAGGCAACGAUGCAUAGCCGACCUGAGAGGGUGAUCGGCCACACUGGAACUGAGACACGGUCCAGACUCCUACGGGAGGCAGCAGUAGGGAAUCUUCCGCAAUGGGCGAAAGCCUGACGGAGCAACGCCGCGUGAGUGAUGAAGGUCUUCGGAUCGUAAAACUCUGUUAUUAGGGAAGAACAUAUGUGUAAGCAACUGUGCACAUCUUGACGGUACCUAAUCAGAAAGCCACGGCUAACUACGUG